UACGGAGGAUCCGAGCGUUAUCCGGAUUUAUUGGGUUUAAAGGGUGCGCAGGCGGAAUAUUAAGUCGGCGGUGAAAGUUUGCAGCUUAACUGUAAAAUUGCCGUUGAUACUGGUAUUCUUGAGUGUAUAUGAAGUAGGCGGAAUUUGUAGUGUAGCGGUGAAAUGCAUAGAUAUUACAAGGAACUCCGAUUGCGAAGGCAGCUUACUAAAUUACAACUGACGCUUAGGCACGAAGGCGUGGGUAUCAAACAGGAUUAGAUACCCCCGUAGUCCCUGAG
rnacentral:rRNA from 1 species